UGCAGUGACAACUUGCCAUCACUUUCAAUGGUUAUAGAAAGUUCUGGUUUCCAAUAAAUCCUGGAGGUGUGAAAAAAUCAGAAGCUUUUCACCAUUUUUGAGAUUUUUGGGCACUGGAAGAUAUGUCAAACCAAUUACCUUAAAAUAUCGAACAUUCAAAAACUUUGCUUUUAGGGAGAUGGAGCACUGCUGUUUUAUCUUAAAGGGAUACUGCAAAUGGGGUGAGUUAUAAAACUGGAAAGCUAAGAGUGAGGACUCAUGGACUGACAUAAGGACCAUUCAACAGGGCUAAAUACGUCAUCUCCAUUGAUUCUGGAAGUGAAGAUGGUAGUUUUUUGCUUUCAACUUAUGACCACAUUUGCCAUGAUGUAAUAGAGAAAGUAUGGCCCAAACCAUAUCUAUUUGACACCAUUGAAACAAUCUGGAAAGCAUGUAAUAGUGCUGAAGAGAUGCAAAAAGAAGAUGCAAUUCUAUUAAGAUAUAUUUCUGCAUAUACCCCUGGGAAAAGGCUGCAAAGAUCCCAGCCACCACGUUUACCUUCAACACCAAAGACUUGCUUCAGAAUGAGAAGACACAGUGCUAUGCUCGCCCCCAAAGUGAAGGAAGGUGCAUAGGAAUGGAGAUUGAUUUAACCUCUACUGCAGAGAGGAGAGGAGAAAUGUGGUGGAUGUCCUACAAAUGUCAGUGACAAGAUCCAGGAAUCAACGCAUUCGGGAAUUUUCGCAAAAGCUCAGGACCUCUUAAGGGUGAAGAUCUCAUUGAGGGAGGUUUUUCAGCAGUGGAAAAAACCGUAGGCCUGCGAGUUUGGAUCCCGUGAUGCAUUGCUGCUUGAAGUUACAUCUGCUCCUCUCUUUCAUCUCUCCUCUUGUUAACUGGGAGCUGUCACAUUAGGAGACUUCCGCAGAGCUCCUGAAGCCAACUGAACAGAGACUGCCCUACUGAAAGCUUUCUGAAGUCGUUCCUGAAAUACAAUGCAUAAUCUCUUGAGAUUAACUCAAUGGCAAAAAUUAAAAUGUAGGUUUAAUUUGGCACCUUCCACUUAACUGAUUCCUAGCGUAUGAAAAAAUGCUUCAGUUAAGUACUUAAGAUGACAUUUAAUUGGUCCUGAGGUUCAUGCUGCUCUCUUUAAAAUCUCUGUACCCUUUAAAAACUUUAAUCGCUGUCUUUCAGGCAGGGUUAUACUUCUAAGGUACAUAAAAGCUUUAAAAGGGGGCUGACUGAGAAACUUGUUCCAAACUACACAGCUGUUCUCGGUGCCUCUUAGUACCUCUGAUAAGAAAAGGGGUUGUUGGUGGGAAAGAGUUUUGGAAAACUGUCGGGGCCAGUUGUUGCUGUUGUUUUUUUUUAACUCUAAUUAAAUGAGAAGGGAAGCACCAGUAAAUAAGCAGCUGAAGGAAAUGAGGAAUUAUCCUUGCUUCUGAGAUCUAUUUUAAACACGUGAAAGGGGUAGUGGGCUCUUUUGCUGCUUUCUGCUUCUAUUGCACGGUUACAGCUCGUGAGGCCUAAUCUGAAGUACCAAAGAGGUGGAAAGUUAUCCAAAAUUGCUCUCUUGUUUAAAAAUAAUACAUACAUUACUGUUAGUCAUUCUGUGGCAUUAGGACUUACGGUUACAUUUCUGUGAAGUGUUUUUGUAUGUUCACGUUCUCCCUCUUGCUUUUUUUUUGUGGCAGUGCUGCUCCUUUCUAACAGUUUUUUAGUGCUGAGAACUAAUGGUAAGCUAUAUUUUAUCCCCAAAAUGUUUAAUAAGGCAAAAUGUGAUUAUUUGAAUUAAUUAAAGUAUGCAAAAACUAUGUCUGUAAUGAUAGUCACCUUUAAACGCGUGCUUAUGUCUAUUGGUUUAUAAAUAUUUGAGGCAAAUAUGCAAAUUUGAUACACUAGCAAUGCAAGGCAUUAUAGAUCAUUUGCAAGGGUGUUGUAGUGUGAGUUCAUAGGUAAGCAAUGAGUGGUGUUUGUUAAGGGAAUGUGCUUCAGCUGGGUGUUUGGAUGGCAGUAGUUUUUCUUCUAAAGCUUAGCUAUUAACUCCAUUGUAAAAUACUGCAGAGUUGUAUCUCAGCCUUUUUAAGUGAUUGCUUGACUCCAGUGACUGUUCAGUAUGGCAACUAUAGUCAAAAUAUGUCUAUUUGAAACAGAUGUAAUCAUUAGCAGGCCUUCUAAACUAUGGCUUCCAGCUUCUUCUAAGUCAAACUGUCUCCUAAGCAGGUUAGGAGAUAGAUGAUUAUCACUCUUUCCUCAUGCAUCAAACGUAGCCAUGUUGCUGCAGUGGGAAGGAGGUGGAGCCAAAGAAACAGGGCUCACUGCUUAGUUAGCAGCUAGGUUUGCUGAUACUCAUGCUCCUCGUGAUGUCUCAUUGAUCCUGUUAAAAAAUAAGUAUUAAUACUUAUCAACAGGCACUCUAAGGAAUGUUACUCCCCAGUAUUAGCUUUAGCUUUUUGGUUUUGUUUUUUAAUUGCAUUGUGUUGCAAUGCUACGGAAUGCUGGAAGGAAGGUCCUCUGGUCUGCUAUGAUCCCAGAGAAGCAGCAUGUCAGCACCUAGGGUGGAUUUAACCACAAUGCAGAGAGCAAGAGUGGGCUACAGUGAUCUGCUAUGAGAGAGAGAGAGAGAGAAAUAGCAGAGCCUGAGCAAGGCCUUGUCAGAAACAGAAAAGAAGCAAGAUUGUUUUCCAGACUGCUCUCAUCCCGACCUUAAGAUAGGGAUUUCUGACUGACCCUGAGCCAUGAAGCAUUAAAAACGCAACAAAUGAUCCACUGGGCUCUCACUUCUUGACCUCCCUGUGAGUCGAGGAGCUUUUCUAGCUCUUACUGAGAGAAUGAUAUAAUUUCUGUAGUUAUCUUUGAAGGUCUCAGACUGAGUUUCUCACCUGCCUAAAGAGAACUUGUGGCAACAACUACCAUUUCACUCCAGUUAUUUUCUCAUUUUAGGAUAGCAGUUCCUUCACUUCUGCCACUUGACCAGAAGAAUGUGAACCUGCCUGCCUGGUUUCAGU